rnacentral:lncRNA from 1 species
GUAAUCCUCCUCCUCGCUGCAGCGCUGUGUGCACUCUCAUUAGAGCAGGGUGGCUUUUCUCUGCGCACUCGCUCGGCUCCCGCUGGCAAAACAACGCCUUCCCCGGCCGGGCCCUGGGCCAGGGAAGUCGGAGAGGGCCGGACGGGGGCGGGGUAAGGCUGGGACAGCCACGCAGGUUAGCUCCGCCGCCCGACCCCGGGCAUCCAGAAGAUGGGGAGGACCCCUUGGCCCUCCCCCACGCGCAGUGGCAAAGCCGGAGCUACCUGUUUAGUUUCAACACGUCGGCUCGAUUGGUGAAACAUAAACCUAGACCAGUAACUAAAAGAAGAAAACUGCCUUUGCAAGCUUGUGCAGGAUGCAGAAUAAAUCCUCAUCAUGCAUCCCUGGUUUUAUUCAGCUUAAUUACACUAGAAAUCCUGCCCCCCACGAAAAAGCCUGGAACCCUGCAGUAGAGGUGCGACUUUUCCUGGGGAUCCUCGCCAUUGGAGAGGGGUUGUUGGUGGAAGGGAGGUGGGUUUUAAAUGUCACUUCCAAAUGAAAACGCUUUCCUUCAGCUUUUUUCUUUUUUGAUGCAGUUUCGAAAGGAGCAUUUUUUCGAGAUAAGAAGUGACCGAUCAAAAUCGCUGAGGGGAGGUUGUAAGCAGCCGCUUUGCCCCAGCUUAGCCUUAUCUUAUCUUUCACACUUGCAUGGCGGAAAAAAAUUGGCUUAUCUUUAUCCCCACCCCCUUCUCGCCUUAAUUGCUAAAAAACAUUGGUGUGUUAAACGGGCAGGAAGGAGGUCUCUGGAUUGUCAGUAGAAC